rnacentral:rRNA from 1 species
CCUGAACGCAGCAACGCCGCGUGGAUGAUGAAGGCCUUCGGGUUCGUAAAGUCCUGUUCUGGGGGAAGAAACGGUAGCAAGCCAAUACCUUGCUAUCCUGACGGUACCCCAGCAGAAAGCUCCGGCCAAUUAUGUGCCAGCAGCCGCGGUAACACAUAAGGAGCAAGCGUUGUCUGGAAUUAUUGGGCGUAAAGAGCUCGUAGACGGUUCGGAAAGUCAGCUGUGAAAUCACCAGGCUCAACCUGGUAGGGUCAGUUGAAACUUCCGAACUUGAGGGUAGAAAAGGAAAGUGGAAUUCCC